rnacentral:rRNA from 1 species
ACUCCUACGGGAGGCAGCAGUGGGGAAUAUUGCACAAUGGGCGCAAGCCUGAUGCAGCCAUGCCGCGUGUAUGAAGAAGGCCUUCGGGUUGUAAAGUACUUUCAGCAGUGAGGAAGGUGGAUAUGUUAAUAGCAUAUUCAUUUGACGUUAGCUGCAGAAGAAGCACCGGCUAACUCCGUGCCAGCAGCCGCGGUAAUACGGAGGGUGCGAGCGUUAAUCGGAAUUACUGGGCGUAAAGCGCAUGCAGGUGGUUUGUUAAGUCAGAUGUGAAAGCCCGGGGCUCAACCUCGGAAUUGCAUUUGAAACUGGCAAACUAGAGUACUGUAGAGGGGGGUAGAAUUUCAGGUGUAGCGGUGAAAUGCGUAGAGAUCUGAAGGAAUACCGGUGGCGAAGGCGGCCCCCUGGACAGAUACUGACACUCAGAUGCGAAAGCGUGGGGAGCAAACAGGAUUAGAUACCCUGGUAGGUCUG